AUUCAUUUUAAGAAACUUCUAGCUUUGGCAAUCGGCUUCAUGACAAUGGCCACUGAUCUCUCUCAGCAAAAACCCAGUGAAGAAGCCCAUGCGCAUGGGAGUUCGAGCUCGGUGAAGGGCAAGGAAAUGGGGGGAAAGAUCACGGGAUGGGUUUUAGCUUCUAUAGUGGCUAUCUUUGCGCUUUUCAUCGGGGUUUCCUUCAAAUCCCGAUACAAGAUCUCCUCCAUCUCUCCCUCCGCUCAACAGAAACUCUUCAAAGUUGAUGAGCUAGCUUUGUAUAAUGGAACAGACAAGGGAUUGCCUAUCCUUCUUGGAAUUCUUGGAUCGGUAUUUGAUGUGACAAAAGGAAAAUCUCACUAUGGUGUGGGAGGAGGCUAUAAUCAUUUUGCUGGAAGAGACGCUUCUCGUGCAUUUGUAUCAGGAAACUUCACAGGGGAAGGACUCACUGAUUCUUUGCGGGGUUUGUCAAAUGCUGAGAUCAAGAGUGUUGUUGAAUGGCGGAGUUUUUACCAAAAAACCUACACACUUGUAGGUAAGUUGGUGGGUCUUUACUAUGAUGAUCAAGGAAACCCCACUAAGCAUUUAAAGGGAGCCGAGGCAAAGGCUGCCAGAGGUGCACAGCUUUUGAAGAAACAAAAGAAAGAGGAAGAUAAACUGCCGAGUUGUAAUUCGAGAUGGAGUCAGGGAGAAGGUGGUGAGGUCUGGUGUGAUGAUGGCUUCCCGAGGUUGGUACAGAGGCCUCUAGAAAUUGCAUUGACCGGGAAGAUGAGCAAACGAUGCGCUUGCUUUAGGGAAGAUCAACUGGAUGAGCCAGGAUUAGAAGUUUAUGAUGGUUGUGACUACCAAGCCAAGACUUGUCGUGUUUAAAGAGCCAUUACAAACAACCUUUAGCUUGUCAGUUGUCAGUCAACAUAUAACGUCUCACAUGCAUUGGAAGCAAGUUUAUUUUUAGUUAUCAUCCUGAUACUAAAGAGGCAAUGAAACCUGAUGGAGAUCGACUGAAACGGCCAAUAGAUUUGGCAAUACGACAUGCCAAAUCUUUUUUUUUUUUUUUUUUUCCUUCUGUUGGAAAGAUGUGGAGGCCAGGCAUUGACCGUGUACACAGCUGCAAGACAUGAAUAGACACACCUUGUCUCUGAAUUCUGAUGUUGCUACACUAACUACCGAUUCGUUCCCAGCAUUGACACAAGGUUGAUUUGUUUGCUUUUUGACGAAACAUGGUUUAAUCCAUAUGAAUUAGACUUAAGCUUAUGUUGGUCUUAUAAUGUUCUGCAGAUUACAGCACAAAAAAGGUAUAUAGCUAUCUUUAGUUUAGAUGUUAUUCCUAAGGCUUGUUUGAACUGAACUUUCUAAAAAAUAUUUUCCUUGCACUUGAAAUCAUUUUUUUAAAACUUGGUAAAACUUAGAAAGUUAUUUCAAACCAACUCUAAAUUUUUCCUUUCUUUUCCAUUACUUAUUGAUCAGUUGAUCAAUUAAUAUUUUAAAUACAGGUAUGUAAGGUUGGUUUUAGUUCAAUUCUAUUUACGCCUAAUUGAAUCGAUUAAUUUUAAAGAAAUUAUUUUCCGCUCAAGGUUGGAUCAGAAGAAAUCCAUCGUUUAAUUUGUCUGGUUUGUAUUGACUACCAAAAUGGUUGAACUGAAUGGAAUGGAUUUUGUCUUGCCACUAGUAAAAUAGAAGAUCUUAUGAUGAUUAGUAUUAUUCUGUUAGAAGAUAAUUUGUCAAUUAUACCUCACAAUCAAUAAAUUAUAAACUAAAGUCAAUAACACCAGUUGGGAGAAGGUGUUGGUGAAGUGGCCCAUCAAGUAUCUCGAAGGUUUGGCUUUGUUGACAGGCCUUAACGAUAUUGUUGCUUUCUUUGGUGGAGGCUCUUUUCCCCUGUUUUUUGGGGGAAUCUGAUUGUAUUGAGCUUAUUAACUUGAUAUUGCAUGAGUCGAUGGAUUUGUUUGAGGUCAGUUCCCUUGUGGGCGAUAUUGAGCUGGUUGCUGUCAAUGCCUAGGCGCGUUCUUUCUGUUGGUGCCUACACUCCUCGAAUGAGGUGGCUCACCGUCUUGCGAACGUUUUUUGAAAUGGGGGGUUUAUAGGAUUCUUUCCUCUUCUUCUCCGUCCGAGGAAUUGGGUUUUUAUUGUGAUUGUAUGCCAGACUGGUUUUCCUCUGCCCUUCGUGAUGAGGUUUGUUGAGAGUUUUGGUUGUUUUAAUGAAUGUGUUCAAAAAAAAAAACAAUUAUAAACUAAAGUCAAUGAGGAUUUAAGCUUAUAUUAAAA